rnacentral:rRNA from 1 species
UACGAAGGGGGCUAGCGUUGUUCGGAUUUACUGGGCGUAAAGCGCACGUAGGCGGAUCGUUAAGUCGGGGGUGAAAUCCUGGAGCUCAACUCCAGAACUGCCUUCGAUACUGGCGAUCUUGAGUCCGGAAGAGGUGAGUGGAACUCCUAGUGUAGAGGUGGAAUUCGUAGAUAUUAGGAAGAACACCAGUGGCGAAAGCGACUUCCUGGACCAAUACUGACGUCAUG